AGAACGAACGCUGGCGGCAUGCCUAACACAUGCAAGUCGAACGCUCCUGGGGCUUCGGUCUCAGGGGAGUGGCGCACGGGUGAGUAGCGCGUGGGAACCUGCCCUGUUGUGGGGGAUAACCGAGGGAAACUUCGGCUAAUACCGCAUAAGCCGGUUGUCUUGAAAGAGAUGACCGGGAAAGAUUUAUCGCGACAGGAGGGGCCCGCGUCGGAUUAGCUAGUUGGUGGGGUAACGGCCCACCAAGGCAGUGAUCCGUAGCUGGUCUGAGAGGAUGAUCAGCCACACUGGGACUGAGACACGGCCCAGACUCCUACGGGAGGCAGCAGUGGGGGAAUAUUGGACAAUGGGCGCAAGCCUGAUCCAGCAAUGCCGCGUGAGUGAUGAAGGCCUUAGGGUUGUAAAGCUCUUUCGCUAGGGACGAUAAUGACGGUACCUAGACAAGAAGCCCGGCUAACUUCGCGCCAGCAGCCGC
rnacentral:rRNA from 1 species